UCUUCGCGUCAUUUUCUCUUAAGAUAGGACUCAACCAUCCUCUUCAAUAGUUCCAUCUGGGAAUUUCUCCCGCUCUCUUGCGGGAGAUGGGAACCCUCAUCUUCGAUGGUUUCCUUGUGCGCCAAUCUGUAAUCUCUCUCUCUUCUAGAUUGACGUCCAUCAAAUACCCUACCUUUAUUCACUCGGCUCGUCAGAGAUGUACCUGGAGCCGGAAGCACGUCAAUCUUUUCUGCUCUACUUUCGCAUCACCCGAUCCAGAUUUCUCCAUUUACGGCGGCUGGGAGGAACUGGAGCUUAUGGAGGAGGCAGGAGAUUCUGGUCUGCUCGAGCCAUUUCGCCGUUUCAUAACUGCCUUAGGAUUUGAUGAUAAGAAGCACGCCUUGCCCUUCCUUCUGGGUUUUUUCGCAGCUUUGACAGUUUCUAGGGUUAGGUUUUUAACUAUUUCUCUUCUUCCCGUCUCAAUCUUAGUUUUUCUUGGGGGGUUUGCCAUUGGAGCGGCUCAAGCUGGUUUUGUGGAUAAGAAAAUGGGAAGAAAUGGAUAUGGUUUAGGUGUUUUUGAAGAGAAAUUAAAGCAGCUGGAAGCUUUGUUUAGUGAUUUGGAUGGUAAGAUGUCAUAUUUAAGGAAUGGCCUUGAAGGUGGUAUUAAUGUGGACGAGCUUGGAAUGGGCCGUGUUGAGACUAAUUACCUUCAGAUUGUUGAGUAUGUUAGAACGGCUAUUGGGGAAGCGCAAAAAACUUUGACUGAUUCUUUCAGUAAUGACCUUUUUGAGGGCCAUAUUGAUUUUGAUGUCGGGGCUAAGAAGUUGAAUCAGAAAUCAAGCAGAAAAACAGUGGAAUUGAGGGCGAGUGGGAUUGAUUUUUUCCAGUUUUUUGCUGGUAUGCUCCACGAGUCUGUGAUUGGUUCAAAGUCAAAAAAACCAAAGGAUAGCAUUAACGAGAAGCUUGGUCAGCAGUUGAAUCCAGUGGAUGCAAAGGGUCCUUUUAUAGUUUCAGAGAGGGAAAUGGUUGCAGGAAAUGAAUUUGGGGAGUCGAGUAGAAGACAAUUGCGUAGCGUCAAUAAACAAAGCUCUAAUGUUGAAGAAUAUGGAAUGCCUUCUAAUGAUAAGCGGGGAGGAAUAGAAAGAACAACACCAGGGAAGGACAGAUCUAAUAAUAAUCUAUGGAAAAAUGGACCCACCAUCACUAACGAUGUUUCUAUACUGAAUAGUGUUGAGAAUAAUUUUAAAAAUGGCAGUGCAGGUAGUGAUAUGCUUUCAUUUGAUGAAGAAGGCAAUAAUGAAAACGGUAGUAGCAGCAGUUGGCGCUUUAUGACUAACCGUGGUAGCUUUAAAAAAGUUGUCUUCGAGCAAAAUUAUGAAAGAGGAGCAUUCAAUAAUAACUUGAAUGAUUCAGCAGAAGGAAAUAUCUUUCAGAAAAGAACAAAGAAUAUGGAAUACUUGACAAGGGAAUCCAAGUCAUCUCUUCAUGAACAUACUUUAGAAAUUCGAAAUAGGGUGCAUGAGCCUUCUUGUAGAAGUGAAAGCAGUGAGCUGCAAGAAAAGCAAAUCAAUGGAUUUGAUUUUGAAGAAAGCACUUCUACAUUGAGAAAUCAUCCCAGUCUUGGUAAUCAGAGACCAACAAAUGCAAGGGGAGAAUGUAAGAUGCCAGAAACUUCAAAUAUAUCAAUGGAUGAAAAGUUUGCAGAUGGCAUAAAGGAGGCCUCUUACCUUUUGACACGUGCCAGAGAGUUCAUGAUGACUCAAGCUGGUGAAGAACAAGCAGAUGCUACAUUGUAUAAAGCUGCGGACUUACUUUCUGCUGCUAUAGAUAUGAGGCCGAUGAGCUUAGUUGCUGUGGGACAGUUGGGGAAUACUUACCUCCUUCACGGGGAACUAAAAUUGAAAGUUACUCGGGAGUUAAGAACUCUUCUAUUGAGAAGUGAUUCUUUGUUUAAAAAAAAUGACAGUAUUGUCACAAAUAGAGAGGAAAUUGCAUCUGUUCUUGUUUCUGUAUGUGAAGAAUGUGAAGGUCUGCUUGUUAAGGCAGGAAGAAAAUAUAGAAGAGCUUUAUCAAUUGAUGGAAAUGAUGUUAGAGCUCUUUACAAUUGGGGAAUUGCUCUUUGCUUUCGUGCUCAGUUGAUUGCAGAUGUUGGGCCAGAAGCAGCCAUGGAUGCCGACAAGGUAUAUUUGGCUGCAAUUGAUAAAUUCAAUGCUAUGAUGUCAGGAAGUAAUGCUUUUGCGCCAGAUGCUCUGUAUAGGUGGGGCAUGGUACUGCAACAGCGAUCACAUCUCCGUCGAAAUAACAGCAGAGAGAAGUCAAAGCUUCUGCAUCAGGCAAAGUCUCUCUUUGAGGAAGUUCUCUCCAUUGAUUCAGAUAAUCAAGUGGUUAGACACGCUCUGAUUUCAUGCAUAUCGGAGCUCAACUACAACCAAUUGUGAGCAUCAAGCAGAUUGUUUGAUGAAACCAUGAAGGAUUUGAUCACCAUGGAAUGCUUAUUUCUUCUUAUUUGAUGAAACCAUGAGGGAACAACCAAUCAGCUUAUUAUUCAUCAACAAGGAUGACUGCAGAAUUGGUGUUUUUAGGCGGUUGUCGUCAAGUUUGAAGACUGGGAUCAUUUCCUCUUUUCAAAGAUAAAAACGUAUGGAUUUGUUCAACUCAAUGUCUGUGAUGUUCAAAGCUUUGUCUAAUAAUGGCUGGACAGUAAAAAUUCUAAGGUUUGCCUCCAACUCUUUCUGAUGUGACGAAAAAUAGGAACUACUGCUCUUUUAGCUAUCAGGUAAUUGUUCUCCAAUUUGGAUGGGAUUUUGAGUCACACCACAAUCGGAGUUUCUGAAUCCA